rnacentral:tRNA from 1 species
GCUGCAGUGGUGGAAUUGGUAGACACGUGCCCUUGAGGGGGGUAUGCCGCGAGGCGUGGAGGUUCAAGUCCUCUUUGCAGCACCA